rnacentral:rRNA from 1 species
UACGAAGGGGGCUAGCGUUGUUCGGAUUUACUGGGCGUAAAGCGCGUGUAGGCGGGCUGGAAAGUUGGGGGUGAAAUCCCGAGGCUCAACCUCGGAACUGCCUCCAAAACUUCCAGCGUGGACUCAAGCAGAGGCAAGUGGAAUUGCGAGUGUAGAGGUUAAAUUCGUAGAUAUUCGCAGCAACACCAGUGGCGAAGGCGACUUGCUGGGCUUGUAGUGACGCUGAGACGCGAAAGCGUGGGGAGCAAACAGG